UAAUCAUUAGUUUCUUAAUUAGGAGCUGGUAUGAAAGGUUGGACGAGGGAAUUUCUGUCUCAUAUUAAUUUGUGUUAGAAUUUUAUUUUUAAGUUAAAAAGCUUAAAUGAUUUUAGAAGACGAGAAGACCCUAUAGAGUUUUAUAAUGAUUUUUAUAAGGGUAAAUUUGGAUUAAAAUAUUCUUAUUAAAAUUAAUAUUUUAUUGGGGUGAUAGGAAAAUUAAAGAAACUUUUCUUUUUAAAGAACAUAGAUUUAUGAACAUAUGAUCCAGAAUUUUUGAUUAUAAGAUUAAAUUACCUUAGGGAUAACAGCGUUAUUUUACUAGAGAGUUCAAAUCGAAAGUAAAGUUUGCGACCUCGAUGUUGGAUUAAAAUUUAUUAUUGGUGUAGAAGCUGGUAAAUUAAGUCUGUUCGACUUUUAAAAUUUU
rnacentral:rRNA from 1 species